UUCGCAAUGCCCGAAAGGGUGACGAAGCGACGCCGCGUGUGGGAAGAAGGCCUUCGGGUUGUAAACCACUGUCGGGAGUUAGGAAAUGCAGGUGCGUUAAUAGCGCACUUGCUUGACUAAGGCUCCAGAGGAAGCCACGGCUAACUCUGUGCCAGCAGCCGCGGUAAUACAGAGGCGGCAAGCGUUGUUCGGAAUUAUUGGGCGUAAAGAGCACGUAGGCGGCCUUGCAAGUCAGUUGUGAAAGCCUUCCGCUUAACGGAAGAACGGCAUCUGAUACUACAGGGCUUGAGUACGGGAGGGGAGAGUGGAACUUCUGGUGGAGCGGUGAAAUGCGUAGAUAUCAGAAGGAACGCCGGCGGCGAAAGCGACUCUCUGGUCCGAAACUGACGCUGAGUGUGCGAAAGCUAGGGGAGCAAACGGGAUUAGAUACCCCGGUAGUCCUAGCCGUAAAC
rnacentral:rRNA from 1 species